AGCUUAGAGUUUGAUCAUGGCUCAGGACGAACGCUGGCGGCGUGCCUAAUACAUGCAAGUCGAGCGCGGGAAGUCAGGGAAGCCUUCGGGUGGAACUGGUGGAACGAGCGGCGGAUGGGUGAGUAACACGUAGGUAACCUGCCCUAAAGCGGGGGAUACCAUCUGGAAACAGGUGCUAAUACCGCAUAAUCCCAGCAGUCACAUGAGUGCUGGUUGAAAGACGGCUUCGGCUGUCACUUUAGGAUGGACCUGCGGCGUAUUAGCUAGUUGGUGGAGUAACGGUUCACCAAGGCGAUGAUACGUAGCCGACCUGAGAGGGUAAUCGGCCACAUUGGGACUGAGACACGGCCCAAACUCCUACGGGAGGCAGCAGUAGGGAAUCUUCCACAAUGGACGCAAGUCUGAUGGAGCAACGCCGCGUGGAUGAAGAAGGUCUUCGGAUCGUAAAAUCCUGUUGUUGAAGAAGAACGGUUGUGAGAGUAACUGCUCAUAACGUGACGGUAAUCAACCAGAAAGUCACGGCUAACUACGUGCCAGCAGCCGCGGUAAUACGUAGGUGGCAAGCGUUGUCCGGAUUUAUUGGGCGUAAAGGGAGCGCAGGCGGUCUUUUAAGUCUGAAUGUGAAAGCCCUCAGCUUAACUGAGGAAGCGCAUCGGAAACUGAAAGACUUGAGUGCAGAAGAGGAGAGUGGAACUCCUGGUGUAGCGGUGAAAUGCGUAGAUAUAUGGAAGAACACCAGUGGCGAAGGCGGCUCUCUGGUCUGUUACUGACGCUGAGGCUCGAAAGCAUGGGUAGCGAACAGGAUUAGAUACCCCUGGUAGUCCAUGCCGUAAACGAUGAGUGCUAAUNGUUUGGGGAGGUUUCCGCCCUCUCAGUGCUGCAGCUAACGCAUUAAGCACUCCGCCCGGGGGAGUACGACCGCAAGGUUGAAACUCAAAGGAAUUGACGGGGGCCCGCACAAGCGGUGGAACCAGGUGGUUUAAUUCGAAGCAACGCGAAGAACCUUACCAGGUCUUGACAUCUCCUGCAAGCC
rnacentral:rRNA from 1 species